UCCGAUGGUGAACCUGCGGAGGGAUCAUUACCGAGUUAUACAACUCCCAAACCCACUGUGAACCUUACCUCAGUUGCCUCGGCGGGAACGCCCCGGCCGCCUGCCCCCGCGCCGGCGCCGGACCCAGGCGCCCGCCGCAGGGACCCCAAACUCUCUUGCAUUACGCCCAGCGGGCGGAAUUUCUUCUCUGAGUUGCACAAGCAAAAACAAAUGAAUCAAAACUUUCAACAACGGAUCUCUUGGUUCUGGCAUCGAUGAAGAACGCAGCGAAAUGCGAUAAGUAAUGUGAAUUGCAGAAUUCAGUGAAUCAUCGAAUCUUUGAACGCACAUUGCGCCCGCCAGCAUUCUGGCGGGCAUGCCUGUUCGAGCGUCAUUUCAACCCUCGAGCCCCCCCGGGGGCCUCGGUGUUGGGGGACGGCACACCAGCCGCCCCCGAAAUGCAGUGGCGACCCCGCCGCAGCCUCCCCUGCGUAGUAGCACACACCUCGCACCGGAGCGCGGAGGCGGUCACGCCGUAAAACGCCCAACUUUCUUAGAGUUGACCUCGGAUCAGGUAGGAAUACCCGCUGAACUUAAGCAUAUCAAUAAGCGGAGGA
rnacentral:rRNA from 1 species